AACGGCCAUACCAUGCUGAAUAUACCGGUUCUCGUUAGAUCACCGAAGUCAAGCAUCAUUGGGCGAGGUCAGUACUUGGGUGGGUGACCACCUGGGAACACCGCGUGCCGUU